CUUCACCUCCACCACCUUAUGAGUACAAGUCACCUCCACCACCCUCACCUUCACCACCACCACCAUAUGUGUACAAGUCACCCCCUCCUCCACCAUAUGAACACAAGGCUCCAUCUUAUGUGUACAAAUCCCCACCGCCUCCAUCUCCUUCACCACCACCUCCUUAUGUAUACAAGUCACCACCUCCACCAUCCCCAUCACCACCACCUCCUUAUGUAUACAAGUCACCACCUCCACCAUCCUCAUCACCUCCUCCUCCAUACAUUUACAAGUCUCCACCACCACCACCAUAUGAACACAAGGCUCCAUCAUAUGUGUACAAGUCACCACCUCCCCCAUCUCCAUCACCACCACCUCCUUAUGUGUACAAGUCACCACCUCCACCACCAUAUGUGUACAAGUCACCACCUCCUCCAUCUCCAUCACCCCCACCACCAUACUAUUACAAGAGUCCUCCACCACCCUCUCCCUCGCCUCCACCUCCUUACUACUACAAAUCUCCUCCACCACCCUCACCUUCACCUCCACCUCCUUACUACUACAAUCUCCAUCACCCCCACCACCAUACUAUUACAAGAGUCCUCCACCACCCUCUCCCUCGCCUCCACCUCCUUACUACUACAAAUCUCCUCCACCACCCUCACCUUCACCUCCACCUCCUUACUACUACAAAUCUCCUCCACCACCCUCACCUUCACCUCCCCCACCAUACUAUUACAAGUCUCCACCACCACCUUCUCCCUCACCACCACCUCCAUAUUACUACAAAUCUCCACCACCACCCUCACCCUCCCCUCCCCCACCGUACUACUACAACUCUCCCCCACCACCAUAUAUACACAAGGAUCCACCAUACUAUUACAAGUCCCCGCCACCACCUUCACCAUCUCCACCACCACCGUACUACUACAAAUCUCCUCCCACUCCAUCUCCUAUUCCCCAUACCCCAUACUACUACAAAUCUCCUCCCCCUCCAUCUCCUAUUCCCCAUACCCCAUACUACUACAAGUCUCCCCCACCACCCAAGGUCCUUCCACCACCAUACUAUUAUAACUCUCCUCCUCCACCUGUUGUGUAUCCUCACCCACAUCCCUACCACCACUCAUUGAUUGUGAAGGUAAUCGGUAAAGUCUACAGCUUCAGGUGUUAUGACUGGGAGUAUCCUGAAAAAUCUCAUGACAAGAAACAUCUCAAAGGUACAUUACAUUACUACCACAUCCCUACCACCACUCAUUGAUUGUGAAGGUAAUCGGUAAAGUCUACAGCUUCAGGUGUUAUGACUGGGAGUAUCCUGAAAAAUCUCAUGACAAGAAACAUCUCAAAGGUACAUUACAUUACUAAGGAUUAGACUUCUUUAGAGUAAUGAGUUUAGAGUAUAUUCUUAACUAAUUGUCUGUUAAAUUAUUUAUUUAUUUUUUAAAUUUAAUUUUAAUUAAUAUAACAUUGGCAUAGUUUUAAUCAUUAAUGUUUUUGAAGAAAAUAAAAUACUAUCAGUUUUGUUUUAGGAUAUAUAUCCAUAGAUAAUCAAAUAUAAAAUGUAACUUAAUUUCUAUACAUAAUACAAAACAUGAGUUCCUAAGAACCGGCCUCAUAAAAUUAAUUUUGACAAGUAUUGUUUAACAUUCUGCUAUUUUAAUAAUAUUGUCCAAUAUAAUAAGUGUCUUCAAAUUUUACUUAAACUAAUUUUGUUUUGGGGCAGGUGCUGUUGUUGAGGUGACAUGCAAAGCUGGGAGCAAAAUCAUUAAGGCUUAUGGUAAAACUAAGAUCAACGGAAAGUACAGCAUUACAGUUGAGGACUUUGACUAUGUCAAAUAUGGUGCCACAGUGUGCAAGGCCGCCCUUUAUGCUCCACCUAAAGGCUCCCCCUUUAACAUACCUACUAAGCUAAACGAGAACUAAAUUGUACUUGUGUUCCAAAGACUAAGUAUGUAGGCUGGGCUUAAGGCUAAGCCAUUUGCUUAUGCUUCAAAGAAACAUUUUAAAGAAUGUGAGAAGCCCAAGCCUUCACCAACUCCAUACUACUACAAAUCACCUCCACCUCCCACACCAGUUUACAAGCACAAAUCGCCACCUCCACCGGUCCAUUAUUAUUCACCUCCAUAUUACUACAAGUCACCUCCUCCUCCUGUGAAAUCGCCACCAACUCCUUACUACUACAAAUCACCUCCACCUCCCUCACCGAUUUACAAGUACAACUCACCACCUCCACCGGUUUACAAGUACAAGUCGCCUCCUCCCCCGGUCCAUUAUCCCUCACCAGUUUACAAGUACAACUCACCACCUCCCCCAGUCCAUUAUUACACUCCUCCAUAUUCCUACAAAUCACCUCCACCUCCCUCUCCGGUUUACAAAUACAACUCACCACCUCCACCGGUCCAUCAUGAUUCUCCCCCAUACUACUACAAGUCACCUCCACCCCCCUCACCAGUACUCCUCCAUAUUCCUACAAAUCACCUCCACCUCCCUCUCCGGUUUACAAAUACAACUCACCACCUCCACCGGUCCAUCAUGAUUCUCCCCCAUACUACUACAAGUCACCUCCACCCCCCUCACCAGUUUACAAGUACAACUCUCCACCUCCACCAGUUUACAAGUAUAAGUCGCCUCCUCCCCCGGUCCACUAUCCAUCACCGGUUUACAAGUACAACUCACCACCUCCACCGGUUUAUAAGUACAACUCACCACCUCCUCCAGUCCAUUAUUAUUCUCCUCCAUAUUACUACAAGUCACCUCCACCUCCUUCUCCGAUUUACAAAUACAACUCACCACCUCCACCAGUCCAUCAUGAUUCUCCCCCAUAUUACUACAAGUCACCUCCACCCCCCUCACCGGUUUACAAGUACAACUCACCACCUCCACCGGUUUAUAAGUACAACUCACCACCUCCACCGGUUCAUUAUUAUUCUCCUCCAUAUUACUACAAGUCACCUCCACCUCCAUCUCCGGUUUACAAAUACAACUCACCACCUCCACCGGUCCAUCAUGAUUCUCCCCCAUAUUACUACAAGUCACCUCCACCCCCCUCACCGGUUUACAAGUACAACUCACCACCUCCACCAGUAUACAAGUACAAGUCACCUCCACCCCCCUCACCGGUUUACAAGUAUAACUCACCACCUCCACCAGUAUACAAGUACAAGUCACCUCCUCCCCCAGUCCAUUAUCCCUCACCGGUUUAUAAGUACAACUCACCACCACCUCCAUAUUAUUACAAGUCCCCACCUCCACCAUCCCCGUCCCCUCCUCCACCAUACUAUUAUAAGUCCCCACCACCACCCUCGCCAUCUCCACCGCCACCUUACUAUUAUAAGUCACCUCCUCCACCUAAGGAGAUUUCAAACCCACCAUACUACUAUAAGUCACCACCCCCACCAUCACCUUCCCCUCCUCCACCAUACUAUUAUAAGUCCCCACCUCCACCAUCACCAUCCCCACCCCCUCCAUACUAUUACAAAUCUCCUCCACCACCAUCACCAUCACCACCACCUCCCUACUAUUACAAAUCACCUCCACCACCAUCACCAUCUCCUCCCCCUCCAUACUAUUACAAAUCUCCACCACCUCCAUCACCAUCUCCACCCCCUCCCUACUAUUACAAAUCACCUCCACCACCCUCACCAUCGCCGCCACCUCCUUACUAUUACAAAUCUCCCCCACCUCCAUCUCCAUCACCACCACCUCCUUAUCACUAUCAAAGUCCUCCUCCACCAUCUCCCAUUUCUCAUCCUCCCUACUACUACAAAUCCCCUCCACCACCAUCGUCGUCUCCUCCACCUCCUUACCAAUAUGUGAGUCCUCCCCCACCGGUAAAGUCACCUCCACCACCAGCUUAUAUUUAUGCUUCACCACCACCACCCAUCUACAACUAAGCUCAAACUGCAGAAGCACCAUUCAUGAUAAAUCAUGUAAGUUUAUCAUUUUUAUUGUUAUUAGUUUGUGUUUUUGUGUGUUAUAUACCUGAUAAUAACCAAAAUUCCUAUUCUUAUUUGUUUUCAGGUUCCAGUUUUCAUCUAGGAAUAAAGUCAAUCUCCAUUUGGAGCAAAGUGAAACUUCUAGCUUCAUGUCUAAAUUCGUUAAAUAAAUGUCUGGAUAUAUCAUCUUUGAGUUAUAAUAUUUAUGAUCCAGACAAUAUUUAUUUUAUUUCUUUGGUGCCAAUCUUGCACUUCCUUGUCUUAUUCUAUUCAAGGGAUAGACAAAUCUAAAGGGAGAAGCGAGAUUAGUUUAUUUGUGGUCUCUUUGAUUUAUUUGUGUAUAGAUCAAUAUGGAUGUGUAUUAUAGUUUUUUAUUUAUUGAAGAAUUUUUUAUUGUAACCAGCUAUUGUGUUUGCCAAAAGUUGUUAUCAAAUAAGAAUCACAUUCAACUUCUGUCAAUUAUUACUUGUUUCUUUCUAACAGCUACCAUUCAUGCAAAUGUGGCUAUUUAAAAUAGCGCCAACAUACAUUAAAAGCUUUCAAACAAUGCAUAAACAAAGUUGCAUGCUUACUCUUAAGAAUGUGACAGGGUUACUCGUGUACCUUGUUAGUUGUCCAUGAAUUUAUGUUCAUAGGAGUUAUAUGGCGUAGCUGCACUUAGUUGCUUUAUGUAUGCAAGAUUUUCCUUUCUAUAAAUAAGCACGGUGUGAUUAAUUCAAACAAUGAAGUAAGAACCAUUCCCCUCCAUAUUCCUUUCUAUUCUUCAAUCAUGAAUUGCUCUUUCAUAUAAGAUGGUAUCUGAGUCAGAGCACACCUAGUGCUCUACUUCAAGAGUAUCAGUUCAUUACUGUCGGAAACAUUAUGAUCCCUAAUUGAAAGAGAUCAUAAUGUUUUAAGGUUUCUAUUAACAUUUUUGAGAAAGGGUUCAAAAUAUUACAUUCUCAUGUUUUGCAAAGUUUGAUAUAAUUAUUCUCAGGUAUUAUUUAUUCUAAGGAAUAGAAUUUCCUCAUGUUUUACUAUUUUAAAUUGUAAUAUAAUAAUAGACGCUGAGAAUCUUUUAUUAUCUUGAGAAUAAAAAUAACUAACAACAACUUCACACAUUACUUCACACGUUCCUAUAUUUUAUAAUAAAUAAAUUGAAAAAAAAAUCCUGAAAUUAACAUGUACAUACCUAACGCAUUUGAAAACUGUUAUUCCCAAAAAAAUAUAUUUGCUAAUAGAAAUUGCCAGGACUUCAUUACUAAGAAUAUAAUUCUAUACCAAGAGAAAAGCUUAUGCAUUGAUACAUAACAAGACUAUUCCAUAUCCUAAUCAGAAUCCUUACUUUCACUUAAGUAUGGUCUUGGAAAGGACAACUAUUCUUUGAAAACUUGGUCAUGGUUAAAUGCUGACAAAUGAAGGACAUUCCAGAGGGAUAUGGCAAAUGACAAUAUCUGCCUUCAAUGUCCUGACUAUCCAGAAACAGUUAUGCACAUACAGCAGGAUUGAGAGAAAGUGAGGAACUACUGGACUGAGUUGAUUUACCGAGAUUAUUUGGCGCAAAUUUGUUCAGCUCAGGACUCCAACAACGGCUGGAGUGGAACCUUUCAGCUUCUAAUAUUGCUAACUAUCCAAGGAAGUGGGCAUAUUUACUAGUUAAUUAAGGCCAUUCCUCCUCAACUAUUGAUUGGGUUCUAGUUGAUUCUAUUUUCCCUUCUAUGAGUACUUUAUUGGCAGAUAGUGUAAGGGGUUGUAGCCUGCCUCUUUUGAUUUCUUAAUACAAUCAUUUUUGUGUUUAAAAAAAUAACGACCCCACAUAAGAUUAAUGGUUUGGGUUUAGAUAACUUCAGUCUGAAAAAAUGGCAAAACCCAACACCACCAAAACCUGAUAAUUUUUAGAUCAUAGAGGUUGGUGGAGUGCUCAUCCAUAUAACUUUAACAUAAUUAACUGUUCAAAAAGGAAAAAGCUUUAUUUAUUUUCAACGUGAUGUGAUUUACUCUUAUCUGCUCAACAUUUUAAGAAUCCAAAGUGACUCCCUAAUCCCUCUCUUUUUUCUAGCCUUUUCACAUUACCACUGUGGUUACCACAUUUCCUUAUGGAAUCAGUAUCCAAGCUAUGUUUAAAACCAUUUGAGCAUUUUGUGUUAAAAAUCAUCUAAUAGAAUGAAGGUUAUAUAUUUCUCUUAAAUUCAACAAUGAUUUUGAAUUUGAUUGGCGGAUGGCGUUCCAUGGCGGAGAGCCAAAAUCCCACCAUUCCAACCGCUUUGCGGUGCCGUUAUAACGGAUUAUGGCAGAAAACCCCACAGUACCGGCCAAUAGGCAUUGACUACCAUAAACAAUGUCUGUAUGUGUGAGAGAGGUGCACUAUAGUAUUGACCAAUUUAAGUAUAUUAUUAGUAGCUUCACAUGGGGACAUAAUUGAUGCACAAAUUUUAUAUAUGCUAGUAACUAUAAAAAUGGGGCAUAUGCUCUGUCAAAAAAACACAAAAAAAAAGGUAUAUGCAAUGGAAGUCACCGCCAGCUUAGCACUAAGAGUAAAUAAGUUGAUCUGUUGGAGAAAACCAAAACGUUGCUUCUUGCAACACCUCUCUUAAACUAGCACAUAUGUCUAUUUUAACAAUAUUGCAUCUCUCUCUGAUCAUAAACUCCUUUCAAUAUAUAAAAUUAUUGUUAAAUAUAAGUCUAUUUUAUAUAACUAUAUAUACAUUUUUUUAUUUUUUUUCAAAUAUACUUCUUAUAAGUACUAUUAAUUUUUCUUAAGUGAUAAAAAGUCAAGAGUUCUAUAGAUCUAUAAACAAAACAAUAUUUUAGUAACACCUACACACAAAAAACAACAACCAAAGUGGGAUUAUAUGAUCAAAUUAUGCUAUAAUGUUCCAUCGAUAAUCAUACUUUUAUCCAUCUCAUUAAUUUUAAGAUUUUUCUUCACCGUUUCUCGUAUAAAUUUUAUAGAUUUUUCUCUAUCUCUAACAGUUUGACUAUCCUGUGUCCUCACACUAGUUGAGACUCCCUCGUACAUAUACUGGAUAACUUAAAUAUAAACAAUCCUAACCCCUACUUUCUCUAAGGUUUUCCACGUGAUCUCUCUAGACAUUUUAUCAUAUGUUUUCUCUUGAUUGAUGAAAAUUAAGUGCGAGUCUUGAUACAUCUGAUACCGCUCUAUCACACAUCGUAGUAAAUAGAACGCUUUCGUAAUAGACCCCCGACGUAAAACUAAAUUGAUCAUCCUAAACUUGAGUCUCUCUUUUUUUAAUACAUUCAAUCAUUGUUCCCAUAACUUUAUGAUAUGACUUAUAAGUUUAAGAGAAAUGAUACUAUGACACCAAAUGAUACCCUUAUACCGUAAUUUCUUCCACAAAUAUAUACUCAUCAUUUUUUAAUAAUUUUUUAUCUCUUUUUGAAAUCUGUGCCAAACUAAAGCAAGUGCAUACCUACGGCGUAGAUGGCAUACGGUGUAACAAAAUGGUGUCAUCAUAGCAUAGUUCUAAGUUUAAUCCAGGUAUAAUUUGCACAAUUUUGUAUAUCUCUCAUGUUCUUAUAAAUCAAAAUUAAAGUGAUUUAGUUAUAUCCAUCUGGCAUUUGCUUUGAACUUAAAUUUUGUUAAAAAAUUUGGUGAAUUAAUUAAUGCCUCUAUCUCUAAAACUUGUUUACACCCGAUAGAUGUAUUGUCUAGCACAAUUUUCCUGCUAUUACUCAUCCUUUUCAACCUUUCUUACCUUAUUUUUUUGAAUCCAUAGAUGGUAGUUAUAGUUUCGAUCCUCCUCUUAAUGUCCAGUCGGUUUAAAUUAGGUAAUAUCUCAUAUCCUCCUUUAAAUAACUCGUGUAAAUAAACACAUUAAAUAGACUAUACUUCUUUCAAUACUACUAUAUGUAAAAAAAUGUCAUAGACUUGUAAAAAGUAACAGAAAUAUUAUGUAUUUUUCCACUAACAUGUUGAUAAGAAACAAAUAAAAUACGGAGGAAUAACUCUUUUGUCAAAUUUUAACAAGGGAGAAGGAUAUCACAUCAUUUUAGAAGAGAGGUGAUAACAGAUCUAAGUUUGAAUAGUAGAAAAAUAUCAUGGGAUUAACUCGUAUAGUACAGAUAAUUCUGUUAUGGAAGAUUGACCUUCCAACAAAAUAAAACUAUAUUUUUAAUUGGUAAAGGCUUAGUUGUCGAUUUAUAAAUAUAUACUAUUACAUUAUCUAACAGCACCAAACCCAGUUUCAUAACGGUAGUCUGCACUGCACGUUUCAUUCAUUUAUUGGUGCCUUAAUUUUGUGUUACAAGCCGACAUUGAUCAGUUGCUAAAAACUAUGCAACAAUUAAAAACAAACGAGAACAAAAAAAUAUUGUACACCCACUUUCACAAGUAUUAAAAAUUACUGUAAUAACAAUUUUUCUGUCAAAUUUAAACAGCAAACUAAUAUAAUAUGUUUUUUUUUUUAUAAAUCGAGUAUCCUCUACGCGCAACUGCAAACUGGAGGGGAGGACUACAAUAGACGGAAAAAUUCUCCCUCAAAAGAUUAAAAACUGCUGCAUGUCCAGAAUUGAAUUCGAACCUAAGACCUCUGAUUAAACUAGAAGAGACCUUUACCAUCUUAACCAAGUGCUUUUAAGCUCCACAAUAAUUAGAACAAAUUUUCACUAGCUUUUGGAUUUAUAAUGUUUUAAUUCCGUUUUUAGAAUUAUUCCCUUCUAUGUUAAUGAAAUAAUUGAGUCCAUAAUGCCUGCACGUUUCUUUCUCUUUUUUUUUAUAUGAAUAAUUUCUUCCUUUGUUACUAAUAUAAAUAACUUAAAUAUACUAGUAAACUCUUCAACACAGAUUUUUUUUCAAAACACUUCUUUCUAUUAGUUGAAUUUCAUUUAUGUGAAUCCUACAAAAUUUUGCAGGCUCAUAAAUUUCAACCAAUAAGAAUGAGUAUAUGAAAAAAUAUAUGUUAAAGAUUAUGUUGGUAUCACAUCUUAUAUGAGAUAAACCCUACACUAGAAAGGUAGAUGCAUUGUACAAAUAAAGCAACAAAGCUAUUUAGAAAGUGUUUUCCCAAACAAAGACAUAUUAAGAAAAGUUAAACUUUUGACUUAAAGACUCGGCUAAAAUUCAAGAUCUAAAUAAAACCCCAUCCACUUAUUACUUCUUGCACAAAACUAAAAUAAUCUGAAUUUGCUAAUAAUAUUUCCUGGUUAUUGUUUCUAUUUUUUCUCCCUUAAAAUCGGCAAUGUGCUAUUAUGCAUUUCAUCAUGGAUAUGGCAACAUCCCAUGUUCAUCUCAUAAUUGAGAAAACACAUGUCUGGGAAAAAGUCUUAACGAAAGUGAUUAAAUAAAAGAAUAGAAGUAAUAAAAGGUGAACCAGAUUAAAGAUUAAGUUUAAUUCAUUCUUCUUCAGUAGUCCUUCCCUCAUAAUUCCUACCCCAGGCCUCACAUUAUAUGCAUUUAGGUAAAUUUUAAGUUUUAUAAUUAUGGAUAUUCAAUAACUUGAUAUUGAUUUUUAUUUCAAUUUAUCCUAAAUUUGUAAACCUGCAAACAAUAGGCCAGUAGGUAAAUUUGGAUUAUUCUUUAUCACUAGCUAUAAAAAGGUUCUGUAAAAAAAAGUACAUUUGAAAUUUAUCCCAAAAAAAUAUAGAUAAAAUAAAUAACGAAAGUCAAACGAAUAUAUUUCACGGCUAAAUAAAGAAAUAAAAGAUUCCAAACAAAAUUCAUGACCACUUCACUUACCAUUCCUUCAAAAACAAUAAAGAAUACAUUUUUUUUAAAAAGAGAAAAAAAAACAGAAAAUAGUUAGUAAAAAAAAGUAUUUUGUACUAGUUUGUUUUUCAACAAGAUAGGCAAACCAGCAGGGUUGCUAGGAGGAAAUUACCACGCUAAAUUCUCUAAUCAUUCCAUUUUGUUAAGAUGCUGAGUUAUAAUUUAAUUAGUAGUUAGAGAUUGUAAAUUUGUAAUAGUGACAGGCUCUAGCUAAUUUGAGUAACAUAAUGUAAUGGGAAAGAAGUGGCCAACUAGGAGACUUAAUUUAAAGCAUUUAAACCAAUAUGAAAACAGUUGAAUAUUUGAAUUGGUCCUACGCGAUGGCCACCCCUUAACGAUUCACACACUAUAAAUACUUAGUCUUUCAUUAAGCUUUUCACAGUAAUCACUACUAACACAAACACCUCUUGUUUCUUUCCAUCUUUUCCUCUAAUUCUAAGAAUAUUAUUAGUGAGGAUCUAAUAACAUAAGCAUUGGAGGUGUCAAGUUUUUUCUUUCUACCCAUGACUGCUAUGGCCAGUAGCCCCAAAAGGGGUCAUAACUGGCCACCAAUGGCAAUGGCAUUGGCCAUUGUUUUGAUUUCCACUACUGUAGUUUCUGCUGCUGCAGAUAGUUAUAUUUACUCUUCACCUCCACCACCUUACGAGUACAAGUCACCUCCACCACCCUCACCUUCACCACCACCACCAUAUGUGUACAAGUCACCCCCUCCUCCACCAUAUGAGCACAAGGCUCCAUCUUAUGUCUACAAAUCACCACCACCUCCUUAUGUUUACAAGUCACCCCCUCCACCAUCCCCAUCACCACCUCCUCCAUACAUUUACAAGUCUCCACCACCACCACCAUAUGAGCACAAGGCUCCAUCAUAUGUGUACAAGUCACCAUCUCCUCCAUCUCCAUCGCCACCACCUCCUUAUGUAUACAAGUCACCGCCUCCUCCAUCUCCAUCGCCACCACCUCCUUAUGUAUACAAGUCACCGCCUCCUCCAUCUCCAUCACCCCCACCACCAUACUAUUACAAGAGUCCUCCACCACCCUCUCCCUCACCUCCACCUCCUUACUACUACAAAUCUCCUCCACCACCCUCUCCCUCACCUCCACCUCCUUACUACUACAAAUCUCCUCCACCACCAUCACCUUCACCUCCUCCACCAUACUAUUACAAGUCUCCACCACCACCACCUUCCUCACCANACUACUACAAAUCUCCUCCACCACCCUCUCCCUCACCUCCACCUCCUUACUACUACAAAUCUCCUCCACCACCAUCACCUUCACCUCCUCCACCAUACUAUUACAAGUCUCCACCACCACCACCUUCCUCACCACCACCUCCAUAUUACUACAAAUCUCCCCCACCACCCUCACCCUCCCCUCCCCCACCAUACUACUACAAGUCUCCUCCACCACCAUAUAUACACAAGGAUCCACCAUACUACUACAAGUCCCCACCACCACCUUCACCAUCUCCUCCUCCACCCUACUACUACAAAUCUCCCCCACCUCCUUCACCAUCUCCACCACCACCAUACUACUACAAAUCUCCUCCUCCUCCAUCUCCUAUUCCCCAUACCCCUUACUACUACAAAUCUCCUCCCCCUCCAUCUCCUAUUUCCCAUACUCCAUACUACUACAAGUCCCCACCACCAC
rnacentral:lncRNA from 1 species